rnacentral:rRNA from 1 species
CUUCACUUAGUGCUGGCCCCACAACAUGGUUANCGCAUGGCUCGUCAGUCAGCUCGUGUCGUGAGAUGUUGGGUUAACCUCCCGAAAUUAGCGCAACCCUUGGCCCUCUCAUUGCCAGCAGUUGUAUGUUGGGCACUCCUAAUGGGGACUGCCGGGUUAUAGAGCGCGUAGAGCGCACAAGGGCUGUGGGACUGACGUCAAGUUCCCUCGAUGGGCCCCUUACUGGGNCUGGGGCAUACACACGUGCUACAAUGGUGGUGACAGUGGGCAGCGAGACAGCGAUGUCGAGCUAAUCUCCAAAAGCCAUCUCAGUUCGGAUUGCACUCUGCAACUCGAGUGCAUGAAGUUGGAAUCGCUAGUAAUCGCAGAUCAGCAUGCUGCGGUGAAUACGUUCCCGGG